UGUUUGGAGAGUUUGAUCCUGGCUCAGGACGAACGCUGGCGGCGUGCUUAACACAUGCAAGUCGAACGGGCUGGCUCUGGUUUUUUGCUGGGGUUGGUUAGUGGCGAACGGGUGAGUAACACGUGAGUAACCUGCCCUCUUCUCCUGGAUAACUGCUUGAAAGGGCGGCUAAUACGGGGUGGUCUGGCCUGCCUGCAUGGGUGGGUUGGUAUAGGUUCAACUUUGGUUGUUCUGGUGGGGGAUGGGCUCGCGGCUUAUCAGCUUGUUGGUGGGGUGAUGGCUUACCAAGGCUUUGACGGGUAGCCGGCCUGAGAGGGUGGACGGUCACACUGGGACUGAGAUACGGCCCAGACUCCU
rnacentral:ncRNA from 1 species